CGAGGGGCAGCGAUGGGGUAGCAAUACUCAGAUGGCGACCGGCGCACGGGUGAGUAACACGUAUCCAACCUGCCGCUUACUCGGGGAUAGCCUUUCGAAAGAAAGAUUAAUACCCGAUGGUAUAAAGAGUUCGCAUGUUCUCUUUAUUAAAGAAUUUCGGUAAGCGAUGGGGAUGCGUUCCAUUAGAUAGUUGGCGGGGUAACGGCCCACCAAGUCUACGAUGGAUAGGGGGUUCUGAGAGGAAGGUCCCCCACAUUGGAACUGAGACACGGUCCAAACUCCUACGGGAGGCAGCAGUGAGGAAUAUUGGUCAAUGGACGAGAGUCUGAACCAGCCAAAAGUAGCGUGAAGGAUGACUGCCCUAUGGGUUGUAAACUUCUUUUAUAAGGGAAUAAAGUGAGGGACGUGUCCCUUUUUGUAUGUACCUUAUGAAUAAGGAUCGGCUAACUCCGUGCCAGCCGCCGC
rnacentral:rRNA from 1 species